GCCCAGAUGAAGAGUCCAAAACAGGACGAAACGUGCAUCAUGAAU
rnacentral:hammerhead_ribozyme from 1 species